GGUGAACGCUGGCGGCGUGCUUAACACAUGCAAGUCGAACGAUGAAGCCGGAGCUUGCUCUGGUGAAUUAGUGGCGAACGGGUGAGUAACACGUGAGUAACCUGCCCUUGACUCUGGGAUAACUGCUAGAAAUGGUAGCUAAUACCGGAUACGACCCUCGGAGGCAUCUCCAGGGGGUGGAAAGAAUUUCGCUGAAGGAUCGGCCCGCGUCUGAUUAGCUAGUUGGUGGGGUAAUGGCCCACCAAGGCGACGAUCAGUAGCUGGUCUGAGAGGAUGAUCAGCCACAUUGGGACUGAGACACGGCCCAAACUCCUACGGGAGGCAGCAGUGGGGAAUAUUGGACAACGGGCGCAAGCCUGAUGCAGCAACGCCGCGUGAGGGAUGACGGCCUUCGGGUUGUAAACCUCUUUUAGCAGGGAAGAAGCGAAAGUGACGGUACCUGCAGAAAAAGCACCGGCCAACUACGUGCCAGCCGCCGCCGUAA
rnacentral:rRNA from 1 species